rnacentral:rRNA from 1 species
UGAUCCUACGGGGGGCAGCAGUGGGGAAUAUUGCACAAUGGGGGAAACCCUGAUGCAGCGACGCCGCGUGAGUGAAGAAGUAUUUCGGUAUGUAAAGCUCUAUCAGCAGGGAAGAAAAAAGACGGUACCUGACUAAGAAGCCCCGGCUAACUACGUGCCAGCAGCCGCGGUAAUACGUAGGGGGCAAGCGUUAUCCGGAUUCACUGGGCGUAAAGGGAGCGCAGGCGGCACGGCAAGUCUGGUGUGAAAACCCGGGGCUCAACCCCGGGACUGCAUUGGAAACUGCCGGGC